AACCCAUGCUAAGGAUAGGUCCGCAGGAGAUCCUUGAAUCUAUCCCAUGUCUCAAAAAGAGACUCCAAUUACACUUGCACAAAAGAAUAUAUUUUAUUCCUGAGUAU